rnacentral:rRNA from 1 species
CCUACGGGAGACAGCAGUGGGGAAUAUUGGUCAAUGGACGAGAGUCUGAAUCAGCCAAGUAGCGUGAAGGAUGAAUGCCCUAUGGGUGGUAAGCUUCUUUUAUAUGGGAAUAAAAUGUUCCACGUGUGGGAUUUUGUAUGUACCAUAUGAGUAAGGGUCGGCUAACUCCGUGCCAGCAGCCGCGGUAAUACGGAGGGUCCGAGCGUUAUCCGGAUUUUUUGGGUUUAAAGGGAGCGUAGGUGGAUUGUUAAGUCAGUUGUGAAAGUUUGCGGCUCAACCGUAAAAUUGCAGUUGAAACUGGCAGUCUUGAGUACAGUAGAGGUGGGCGGAAUUCGUGGUGUAGCGGUGAAAUGCUUAGAUAUCACGAAGAACUCCGAUGGCGAAGGCAGCUCACUGGACUGCAACUGACACUGAGGCGCGAAAGUGUGGGUAGCAAACAGGAUUAGAUACCCGAGUAGUC